GAAGCAGACUAGACAGCUACCUUCCAUAUAAGUGGGGGGAGGAAAGUCCGGACUCCCAUUUCCGACUUUGUCGGAAUAAACGUAUCCGCUAACAGCGGACUGCCGGAAGGCAAGAGGUGCGAACAGAGACGUCCCGAUUUGAAAAAAUCGAGGAUGCCGAGCAUACAGUUUGCUGUGUGCUUGGCGAGCUUUCGAAAUAACUUGGGGUCUUACUCAGAACGCAAGUUCAAGGGUUUACCCUGAGCGAAGUCGAAGGGUGAAACGGCUAAAUCCUUGCGGGGUGCAAGACCGUAUCCCGCUCUGUUUACAGGGCGGGGUGAGUCGCUUGAACUCAAGAGCAAUCGAGGGUCCAGAUAAAUUACUGUCAUCCGCCAAGCGGCGGAACAGAAUCCGGCUUAUAGGUUUGCUAAUAAA
rnacentral:RNase_P_RNA from 3 species